UCUCCCAUGUAGGACGAGGCAUUCCCAGUCUUGCACUUGUGCCAGAUCAAGGAAGGGGUAGAACUGGGCCCUGCAGCUCCCAGCUCUGCUAGAUGGGGGCCCUAGAACCCAUGGCUUGGUGGCCACCUGGCCUGGACCUAGAGAGGGGACAGGGCCCCCUGGUGCUCUGGGUCUCAAGAGGCAGCCUCUGUGGCUUUUCCCCCGGGGGCCAAUGAGCCUGGAGCCGCUGCUGCUAAGGGCCCGCCCCGGGCACCCCUCCAGACCUGGAGGCCCACCCGCCUCCCGUGGUCUCUGCUGUGCCCACACCCACGAGCCCGGGUUCCCUUAGGUCCUGCCUACCCUGCUCUCCGCGCACGUCCCCCUCGUGCUCCCCGAGGGGAGUCGCCGCCGCAGUUUACUCAGGAAGAGGAGGUGCACGCGCAGCGCCCACACGACGGGCCCCGGAGUGUGGGGAGAAGCCCGGAUAACUCCCAUCAGCCUCCCGGGGCUCAGCCGUGUAGCUCAGGACUGAUGCUGGGGGCUCAGCCGUGGGCCGGGCGCAUCUUGACACAGGACGCGGUCCUCCGGUGACUCUUCGCAGCGGCCACGUCCUCUCAAGCACCAGCGUCUUCCUGCGUGGAAGUCCACGGCCAAGAGCGCGGCGUCCUCGGAGCCUGGGACCUCGAUUAUGCCGGAUGCCGGAUCCUGGACAGCGGUCUGCUGACCAAGGGAGGGACACCGCGAGGCCUUGCACUGCAGUGGGGUCUCCCACUGCCCAUGCCACCACGCCAGGUCAACAUUCAGACAUACAAGACGGAGAUCACCAUGCGGAACCAGCCUGGCCCUCAGAUGUGUGUGCUCGAGCCAGGAUCAGCCGGAGUCUGACAGCGCCUGCACCCCAACACGGUCGGACUCCAGGACGCCAGUGAAAAAACCAGUGCAUGGACAAGCAGCUUCCAUGCGUUUGCGUUUGAUUUUUAAAAACAAGACAUAUUUCAGUGUUAACUUCCCCCCCUCACCUGGUUUGAAACAUUUUCCCCAUUUUCCAGAGAAACAGUAUCUACCAAAAGGUGCUGCCUGCAGGACCCGGCCCAGCCCCUUCUGGAGGUGCUGUUGUGUAUCCUCCUCUGGGGCGGACCUGGGGCCACGACGGGGCCCCUCCCCAGGCUGCCCUUCAGAUGCAGCUUUGCCACUGAUUGUAUGUGUUGCUUAGAAAAUCGGCUUUAAUGUUUCAAGGGAGGGAAGGGUUUCCAGUCACCUCCUAGAUUUCACACCGGGACACACACCUGGGUCAGGUGGGCGUGACACGGAGCCCCCAGGAUGGGCACCCAACCCUGCAGAGCAGAGGCCAACACCAGUGGGGGCCGUGGCAGUGCCCUGGGCACACAUCCUCUGCACACAGUGGGCUCAGCGCUUCCUUCUGUGCACCUGCCAGGAAAGCCUCUUGCAGGUCCCUGCCCGACUCCCAAGAAACCAAAGGCCGUUUCAGAGCCACCUUAAAUUGUACUUGUGGCUUCACCACGGGACAGCGGCACAAAUGACACGCUUGCUGUGUGAUAUAUACAUAUACACAUAUGUACACACACGGACACACCACAGCCCACACUCACAGCAUGUGACGACGCGAACCGUUGCUGGUAAGGACAGUAAAUAUGUAGCUUUUGCCAAUUCCACAGGAGAAUGAUUCACAACCAAAAUAACAGACACAGGCCAGUCCUGCGCCACACGGGUUCACAGCUCCAAAUACUGGGAAAGGGUGAGGUCAGUCACUUCGUGUCCCCCACGAGAUGUCCCCACAGUAGGAUGCACUGAGCCAGAGCUAAGGGAGGGUGGACAAGCCCCACGUCGAACUCUGCCCGCAGCACCCGGGCCCUCCUGGUGCCCCCACAGCACAAGGCCCACCCCGAACAGACGCCCUGGGCUCGGCAGGCGACGGGGGCCACUGGCGACACGCAGCACCUGGGAGCAGCCUCGACGGCAUGAGGCUCCAGGGCCUUUCCCGGACGGCAGCGCCGACCUGAAGAUGAAGGUUCUCCUGCUGGACGCGUGCGCACACCAGGUCCUUUUUCUAGCAGGUCCCCACUGGGUGCUGCUGCACGAACUGAACAGAGAGCUAGGAUAGUUCACAAACACUGAGCAGUAAUAGCUAAAGCAGUUUAAAAAUAAAGCCAAAAGGAAGACAAAAAAAUCCCACGUCACUGAGUGGAGACAAUCUACACAGCAGCUGCCGUGAAGGGCCCUCGGGCUGCACCCAUGCCUCCUGCAGGUCAGAAGCAGUCGGUGCUGCCUGGACCCCCUUGUGAACUGGACAGGCCUCGAAGCACAACCCCAGCAGGCCCCCGGCAGCACCCAGCAGCGGCGUCCAACGGGACGUUCUGUGCUCACGGCCACACACGCUCACGGCACCGUCUGCAGCCUCAGAGUGAGCGGUCGGGGAUCCCGUCACUGCCACCGGAAGGCAGGGAUGCUGGGGGCGUCCUGAUCUGUUAGCAUGUGGACAGGGAGAUGCGUAAGCUGUCCCUGGGGACUCACCACCUCUUUUAAUGGGGAACGGUCCACUCAAUAAAAAGAGAAAUAAAACCUGGAA